rnacentral:rRNA from 1 species
CCUACGGGCGGCAGCAGUGAGGAAUAUUGGUCAAUGGGCGGAAGCCUGAACCAGCCAAGUCGCGUGAGGGAAUAAGGCCCUACGGGUCGUAAACCUCUUUUGCCGGGGAGCAAGGGCGGGGACGUGUCCCGGCCCGGAGAGUACCCGGAGAAAAAGCCUCGGCUAACUCCGUGCCAGCAGCCGCGGUAAUACGGGGGAUGCGAGCGGUAUCCGGAUUUAUUGGGUUUAAAGGGUGCGUAGGCGGGCUUUUAAGUCAGCGGUAAAAAUUCGGGGCUCAACGCCGUCCGGCCGGUGAAACUGGGGGCCUGGAGUGGGUGAGAAGAAGGCGGAAUGCGGGGUGUAGCGGUGAAAUGGAUAGA